rnacentral:tRNA from 1 species
GAGAGUAUAGCCCAGUGGUAGUGUGCAUGUUUAGCAUGCAUUAGGUCCUGGGUUCAAUCUCCAGUACCUCCA